rnacentral:rRNA from 1 species
UGGAAUGAUGGUGACCUAAACCCUCACCAGAGUAACAAUUGGAGGGCAAGUCUGGUGCCAGCAGCCGCGGUAAUUCCAGCUCCAAUAGCGUAUAUUAAACUUGUUGCAGUUAAAAAGCUCGUAGUUGAAUUUUUGCGUCACCGUGUAUCGACAUUUGUCGUUUAUCGGUUUCGCUUUUGGGAUUUAUCCCUUUUUACUUUGAGAAAAUUAGAGUGUUUCAAGCAGACUUUUGUCUUGAAUACUUCAGCAUGGAAUAAUAGAGUAGGACUUUGGUUCUAUUUUGUUGGUUUGUGAACCUUAGUAAUGGUUAAUAGGAACGGUUGGGGGCAUUCGUAUUUAACUGUCAGAGGUGAAAUUCUUAGAUUUGUUAAAGACGAACUACUGCGAAAGCAUUUGCCAAG